rnacentral:lncRNA from 11 species
GCAAAAACCAAAACACUGGGGCGGGUGAAAAACUCAAAGGAGAGAGUGGUGAAAUGGCAUCUACAAAUGGUACGUGACUGGGGAAAAACAGACAUAAGUAUGCCUGCAAGCAAAAUAGAAAGGGCAAGAUGGAUGGACGGUAUCCUUGAAGUGACUGGCUUGACCUUGAAGGAACUGGGGGUGGUGGAGCUCUGGAGUGGACUGGUCCAUGAGGUCACGAAGAGUCCGAGACGACUAUGCGACUGAGUAGCAGCAGAUGUUUAUGAAAUUAAUGGAGAAACGGGGUUCAUGAAGGAAAAAGUAAAGGCAGCAAGAAGGUGAGGAGAGAUAAUGACAAGAAAUCUGCUUGUGUGCACAUUCAGAUAUCCACAUCAGCACUUG